GAUUCAUAUUCUCUGUUUCUACUAGUAUACUUCAAUAAUGGAAACAGAGAAUAUGAAUCUAUGUUCCUGUCUGACAAACAAGGAACUGAGCCUGAUAAACUUGAUUGUAAUUUCUACAAUGUUUCAUUGCAAACCUGACCUACUGAAGCCAAGGUGUGAAGUCUUGUUCUAUGCCCCUGUUAGGAAUUACUCCAACUUCCAUUGCUACUAUCACCUUGAUCUCAUGAUUGAUCUCAUGAUUGAUCUCUCUGCUCAUUCUUCCAUGAGUUCUUCGCAGCUUCUGCAGAUGAACCACCAGAAUCACUAUUGCCAUCCUUUGGCUUUGAGAAGAAGGGAUCCCAUUCAUGAGCUCCCACCUUGCGCUGUCCUUCAUCCAAUAAUUCAUACUUCCAACUGUUCUCCUCCACAAAAUUAUCAUAUUCUGUACGGCCCUCAAUAAGGUUUCUCCUCAACCUUGUAACUUUGUCAAUGACCGCCUGAACAGCAACAUCAAAAGCAUCUUUAAGAGUCUCCAAUUCUGAGCGAGGAUCUGCAUAUAUAAGCCCUGGGAUGAGACUUAUGACUUUCUCCCUCAUGAUCUUCACCUGCUCAGGAGGAAUCUUACUAAGCACUUCCUCAAU
rnacentral:misc_RNA from 1 species